rnacentral:lncRNA from 1 species
UUAUGUUCAUUGAGUCUUUCUCUGCGUAUUCUUCGUUUAUUUUCUUACAUACUAAACUUAGGUUUUGAUUCAACUACAAAUACAAAUAGUAAUGUACAAUGUUUAAUGUUGAGUUAGAAUUCACGGUCUCUUUAAUAAAGGUUGGCAGUUACGAGUUCUUUUUGCAAACGCACAAGAUAUUAUUGUUUCUCUCCUUAAUGGUGCGUUUGAUUUGCUAAAAAAAU